rnacentral:lncRNA from 1 species
CAGCAGUUCUGCAAUGAGAAAGCUGAAAGACGGGGUCAGGAAGAUUCCUGCAGCUGCUGAGUUAGUACUUUUAAGAAAGUACUGGAUUCCCUCUCACAAUGGGACUUUGAUUUUUUUAAGAAAAAGGUUUCAUAAGUUUUCAAAUAACCUGGAGCAGUUGAGCAAACUUAAUGUGCAGCGUGGUCCCUGCUGGCUGGGUUUGAGGGGCUGGGUCUCUCUGAGUGGAUGCUGGUGAGGUGCAGAGGAAGAAGAAAAGGUGCCUGAGGGCCUGUGUGGAAGGCCUGUCACACAGCACAUCCUGGGAAAUCUGUCCAGGAAGCAGCCAGGCGGGCAUCAGCCAGGCGGGCAUCAGCAUCUUCACUGUGCAGAUGAGAAACUGAGGCCGCAGAGGUGAAGGGACAUGCCCAGGAUCACUAAGGUGAUCCCUAGAAACACAGCCAGUGGCCCGGAAGCUGCACUGUUUUGUGCACCGCAGGGAUGGGCACAGAUGGGGCUGCCUGCCCUCCUCCUGGAAGGAGGGAGAACCCAGUCUGGCCUGGAGUGGUCAAGAGCUAACUCUAGACUCAGCAAGACCUACUUCUCUCUCCUGCCCCUACUUCCUUGCUGCUGACCUGGGCAAGUCGCUGAAGCCUCUCCGUGCCUCAGUCUGCUCGUGCGUAAGAUGGGCACAGGGCACACUGCCUACUUGAUUGGGCUCAACCACGUGCAGUAAGUAGCUGGUGUCUGGCAAGAGCCCUCAGGAAACAGUAACCCCAUUAAUUCAAAUGCACGUGCCUGGAACAGGCUCUGGGGGGCCAGCCCGGGAGUCCCACUCCAUGAUGGCCACCCUGGGGCCUGGCAGGCUGGGCUGGCAUCCCAGGCCCACCGGAUACUGGCUGUGCACCCCGGCCAGGCCACACAUCUCUGAGCCUCACUUUCCCGUGUGUGAGAUGAGGCUAGAAGCUGCUUUCUCUUGCGUGUGUGGGGAUUGGCGGUGACAACACGGCCAGGAGCCCAGGCCCAGCCUACGCGAGCAGCCUCGCUCCAGGCCACACGCCCCACUCCUGACAGCUCUGUGCAGCGAGUUCGUGCGCGAGCGGGUGGCUGUCUGCCAGGCGAGGGGCGCGGGUGCCCAAGAGGGCUUCACUGCUUCUGGAAAGAUCACAAGGAAAAACCACCUCCGCGGCGGGACGCUACCCGCGGGCCGCUGCGGUCCCGCUCGCGGCCGGCAGGGGGCAGGAUGUCCCCGCGAGUCGCCCGUGUCUUCGGGUGUCCUCAGGUCACCCCGCACCGCUCGCAGCCUCCGCGCCUAGUUAAAGGGCGACGCACUCAUUUCUGCAAAGAAGGAGCCCAGCGGCCCCUCCCCGGGGAACUCUUUCCAUCAACUCGGGGCCUAAUAAUUUACAUUUAAUUUGUUAGCGGUUUAAUGUUUAAUUUUAAAAGCGAGAUGAUUCAUUACCAUAUUAAUAAAUAAUAACAUUUAUUAUUCUCCUAAUGAGUGUCCAAAAUACAGAAGCAAUUACAUGUUUUAUAUAUUUUCUCGUAAUUUGAGACACCAGAGCGUUAAUUACAGAGACUCACGCGUGGACCCCAUUCUGAUCCAGGGUCCUGAUCCUGCCUUUGUUUCGGUCUCUGAACCAGCCGCCCUCCGGGGCUUCUGCAAUUCCCUCAAUUAGAGGAGAGGAAGUCGUACGUGACGAAGCUGGGGCUCUCACAGAACCCCGGCGCCCCAGACCCAGGAGCUGCAAGACCUCAGCUCCCCGUGCCCACACUCGGAGACCCAGGCCCCUCCCAGUCCCCCGUCUCCUCUGUGCAGGGUUCUUCAGGAAGAAUCGGAAAGAGGCCCCCCGACCCACAACCAGCCUCGCAUUCCCUCCUCCCGCAGGGAUCCAUUGAGCUGGGGGGUGGGACUAUCCUCACUUCACAGAUGGGGAAACUGAGUCCUGGAGAGAGACGCUCCGGUGUCCUCAGCUGGUGAGGGGCAGAUCCGGGAGCCACGUCCCACGCAGUCGGUUGGCCCCAAGCUUGGUUCCUGCCUCAACCCCAGCGCAGGUUGCAGCAGGCCCGCGUAGGAGGGCGGCCUGGGUCUGGACAGAUCCACAGCCGGCCAACGCCCCUGGCUAGCUCUCUAUGGCUUUGCUUCUUCUCUUGACUUGCCAAGUUCUUCUUGUUCAUUGUAGAAAAUGUGGAAGGUGAGGCCGGGAGCGGUGGCUCACGCCUGUAAUCCUAGCACUUUGGGAGGCCGAGGCGGGCAGAUUGCCUGAGCUCAGGAGUUCGAGACCAGCCUGGGCAACAUGGUGAAACACGUCUCUACUAAAAAAAAAAAAAAAAAAAAAAAAAAAAUUUGCUGGGCGUGACGGCAGGCGCCUGUAGUCCCAGUGGGAGUUUGGGGAGGCUGAGGCAGGAGAAUCACUUGAACCCGGGAAGCAGAGAUUGCAGUGAGCCGAGAUCGUGCCACUGCACUCCAAUCUAGCGACAGAGCAAGACUCCGUCUCAAAAAAAAAAAAAAAAAAAAAAGUGGAAGGUGAAAAAAACACGGAGAGACAGCAAAGCUGGCAAUGACAUAGCUCCAAAAAUCCCACUUCUCAGAUAAGAUGCAGGCAGUAAGGGCCUGGAGUUUUAUGUAUCCUGAUGUUUGAAAGGGCUUGGACAGGGCACUUCCUCCCUCCAUAGCUCUUCUGUCCUUAGGAAUCCCUCCCUUCUGGAGGGGAAGGGUGGGGGUUUUCCUGUUUGGUCCCCAGGGAAGGAAGUUCAGAGACAGAGGCCCACUCAGGGCCACCCCCUGGCCUGCACCCCUGAAAUGCAAUUUGGAUAAUAUGGAAAAUUACUAGGAAGAAAAAACGCUAUAAUCCCCCCACCUAGAGAUAACCAGGCGUUCUGGUAUAUACCUAUUGAGGACUUUUUUCCCAAGCAAAUACUCAGAAAGAGACUUCCUCCCAAUAGGCAUGAGAUCUUACUCCACGUGCAGUUUGUCUUAUCUUGAUUUUUUUCCAGUAAUCUUUUAAGAGUUUCCCAUGCCAUGUAGUCAUUCUUCAAAAACCCACUUUGAACAGCUGCGUAAUAUUCCGCUGUGGAGGAGUGCCCUGCAGUGUAGAGAAAUGAGUUAUUUACGCUGAAGUCUGUUAUUACAUGGACAUCUUCCCUUUUCUGACCCUGCAAUGACCACACUCAUAGGUGAGUCUCUCUGGAAAUCCUUGACUACCUCCUUAGGGUCCAUUCUUAGAAGUGGAAUUACUGGGUUAGAGGGCAUGAGUGCCUUGAGGGCGGCUGUCUCCCUCUACCUGCAUGCCUGCCAGGGCAAACCCGUGCAUGCUCCCAGGACAGGCCUGGCAGGGCGUGUCUCCCUGCUGCACCCUUGGUACCCUUGGCAGGGCUAACAUUAUCCUCUAAACCAGGUCUUUGCAGCACUUACCCUUUUCAAGGUGCUACUGUACCUCUCCUUUAAGGAG